rnacentral:rRNA from 1 species
GUGGGGGAUAUUGCACAAUGGGGGAAACCCUGAUGCAGCGACGCCGCGUGAAGGAAGAAGUAUCUCGGUAUGUAAACUUCUAUCAGCAGGGAAGAUAGUGACGGUACCUGACUAAGAAGCCCCGGCUAAAUACGUGCCAGCAGCCGCGGUAAUACGUAUGGUGCAAGCGUUAUCCGGAUUUACUGGGUGUAAAGGGAGCGCAGGCGGUGCGGCAAGUCUGAUGUGAAAGCCCGGGGCUCAACCCCGGUACUGCAUUGGAAACUGUCGUACUAGAGUGUCGGAGGGGUAAGCGGAAUUCCUAGUGUAGCGGUGAAAUGCGUAGAUAUUAGGAGGAACACCAGUGGCGAAGGCGGCUUACUGGACGAUAACUGACGCUGAGGCUCGAAAGCGUGGGGAGCAAACAGGAUUAGAAACCCGGGUAGUCC